GGUUAUUAUUCAAAUCUCAGGUCCAGGCCAAUCAGAGCCUUGGCUUGUGACGUCAGAGGCUCCUCCUGAGCUCAUUGGCUGGAGCUCACCAUGGCAACCACCAGCAUCCUUGGAGAGUCUGGACCACAUCAUGGAGGCUCUGCUCAACAUCCCUGGAAAGUGGCUGGAUUGGAUGGCAGCACUGGGGGCAUCGCAGGGCCUCCCUCGCCUGGGCUCCUCAGGAGGGAGAGACCCUCCCCUUUAAGGCAGAAUUAAGGAGCGGGGGAAAUGAAUGAAAUGAGGUUCAACCAAACACGACAGACAUGCUGAUACCUGCCAUGUCUGCAGCCUCCAUACCUGUCACCAAACUCCUCAUCCACCAUGUCGAAGCUCAAGGCAGUGAACCUAUCUAAGAUUCCUUCAUUCCCACAAGACCAACCUUGUGAAGGCUGAGAGAGGGACUGGCUCCAGGACACCUACCUGGCUUUCGUGGCUGAGAUAUGGGACUCGUUAAGAUGACAAUGAAAAGGAAGUAGUCAAUAGAAGCCUACAGCUGAAAGGGACCUUGUGAGCAACAAGGAAGAAAUGGUCAAUAUCCUUGGGAGAUCUCUCAGUGACCACUGAUGGUCCCAACCUCCAAGUUGAUGAACUGAGAGACUCCUUUGACUUUCAGUCCCAGAAAUUCCAGAAAGAAAAUCAAUGGAUGAAAGAACAGCACAGCUGUCUCCAGGAGAAAGUGGAUCAACUUCAGACCACAACGGAAGACCUGCAGAAAACCUGCAGAAGAUCAUGCCAUCAGUUAGAGCUAGAGAAGAAAUCUUUGGUGAAAUACAUUGAAGAACUCCACAAAGAACUGCAUGAGGUCACUAGCCAAGUGUCCAUCUCAACCAAGAGAAGGUGACUCUGAGAAAGACCUUGAAGAGGUGAGGAACCUUCCGCCAGAGGUUAAGAAGCAGCUCCAGAGUCUGCAGCAUGAACUGGCUGAGAUGGACCACAGUUACCAUGUGGAGAAAAACCAUUACAGCCAACUGAGAAAGUCGGACUAUGAGAGAAAACAAGCAGAAGCACCUCAAAAGUCUGCAGCAGCCACAUCAGACCUCCCAGAUCCGGCUCUGGCCAGACUCACCUGGCACACUAGGUAUCAAGCCCCCCCCAUCUUCUCCCAGGUACACCAGAUGGGAAACAUGAUGUAACUCUACAUCAUAAGGG